rnacentral:rRNA from 1 species
AGCGAACGCUGGCGGCAGGCCUAAAACAUGCAAGUCGAACGCCGUAGCAAUACGGAGUGGCAGACGGGUGAGUAACACGUGGGAACGUGCCCUUUGGUUCGGAACAACACAGGGAAACUUGUGCUAAUACCGGAUAAGCCCUUACGGGGAAAGAUUUAUCGCCGAGGGAUCGGCCCGCGUCUGAUUAGCUUGUUGGUGAGGUAACGGCUCACCAAGGCGACGAUCAGUAGCUGGUCNGAGAGGAUGAUCAGCCACAUUGGGACUGAGACACGGCCCAAACUCCUACGGGAGGCAGCAGUGGGGAAUAUUGGACAAUGGGCGCAAGCCUGAUCCAGCCAUGCCGCGUGAGUGAUGAAGGCCCUAGGGUUGUAAAGCUCUUUUACCCGGGAAGAUAAUGACUGUACCGGGAGAAUAAGCCCCGGCUAACUUCGUGCCAGCCGCCGCAGUAAU